AAAGUGCGAAAAGUGUCAUGACUUGCAGAUUCCCGAGAGCUGACAAAUCUCUGAAUGCAAAUGGCAGUCGCGUUAGACCCGACUAUGUAUUGUAGAGUGUAGAUGCUCCAGCUAUUCAUCAUAUCUUCUCUUCUUCUCAGAAGGUAGAGAAAGAUGUGGACCUGUGCUUGCGAGAGAGAACAACUUCACUUUCGCGAGUGUUAAAAGAAAAGGUCUACGACUUUAAUUCUCUCUAGAGAGGGUUUUGAGUCGUGCACCGAUGAGAAUGUAAUUAAUUACAAGACACAUCGGAUUGCUCUGUUUGAAGGACCUCGAUACAACACAAAUUUCAAUGAGCCACCUCUACAAUGCAUGAAAACCCGCUGAACUUAA
rnacentral:misc_RNA from 1 species